rnacentral:sRNA from 1 species
UAGAGGGCACCUGAAGCAUUUUAAGUGUAAGAGUGACAAGAUUUGCCAUUUGUUUUAGAACGUUCCCUGCUGCUGAUUGUGGAGGGAGGUCUGUUGCAGAGACUUAGGGCGGAGACAGUGGUGGACAGGAUGAGUGGUGGGCUCAGGAUGGCCAUGAGACGAUGAUAUUGGAGAACUAUUAGACCUCCUGGGUUUUUUAACUGGAUGUCAAGUGAAAGCGAGGGUGAUAACGACCCCUCCCCGUUUCCAGUUUGGGUGAGUGAGGGGGUGGUGCUGCUCACUGGGAAUGGGUCCUCAUGCGUGGGCAUGUUUGGGAGGGAAAAUGCUGAGCUCCACAUUGGACAAAUUGAAUGGAUUGUGCCUGUGAGCCUCUCAGCAGGAGAUGCCAGCAUACCCACCUGGAAUGAUGGACCAUGGACCGGGGGAGCUAUGGAGUCUUGGGUGGGCCUGCUUAGCCAACCCAAGGUGGGUUGGGUAAGCAGAGCAUCUAGCAGAGCCUUGUGGACACUGACAGUUCAGGGGCAGGCUGGGGAAGGCGUUGGAGGAGAUGGUGGGGGAGGGAUGGCAGGGGCGCCUGAGGGGCACCAUCUGGGAAGCUGGGGAGGACAUAUUUCCAGGGAAGGAGGAGGAUGAGCCAAGUGCAGUAGAGAGGUUCUUGUAAAAUAAUAACUGGUGAGACAAUAAGUCUUAGGACAAGACUUAGGGGUCUGCCCCCUAAUCCUACCUGGAAAUCCUAGUGAUGCCUUCCUUGGCAAGAAGGUCCCUAGUAGCCUUGGCAGGGUAGCUUUUGGGAUAUGAUAGGGACAGAGGCCAGAGAUAUGUGGGCAGAAAGUGAAGAAGAACAAGACCUGGGGACUCUUGCUCUUCCAAAGUGGGGCUUUGGUAUAGGCUGAGGAGGUGAUGCCAGGAGAGUGGACCAGGAGACGAGGGCAGCAGGGUCAGGAGAGGAGGGAGGAGAGCCAGCGGAAGGGACAUCUCUUGCUGUAACAGGAGCAGGAGGGGAAUGGAUGUAGAUAACGAUGUUCAGUGGGUUAAGGGGGAUUACCUUUAAUUCUCUCAAUACACAGUGAAGGGCCUGGGUUGAGUAGGGGACUCAGGAGAACAGUGGCGGUUUGGAAGUAUCCCAGGGCAUGGGGCUGCCUAGGGGCUUUAUGGAAGUCAAAGCUUUAGAGGAGUCAGAGAGGGAGGUGCCAGCCACACGAGGCUCUGCUGGACUGAGGCUGAAGCCUGUGGGUAUGUUCCAGCAUGCUCAGCUUGGUGGCUGCUCCAGUCCCACUCCGCACCCAGGAUCCACAGGCCACAGCUCUGACCAGAGACUGGGCAUUGCCAGACAGUGAGGAGGAAGGAGAGGUGUUUAUGGAUCAGGGAUGGGAGUCCUAGGGAUGAUAAGCCCUGGGCUCCAGCUGGGAACUAUCAGAGUCUGGGGGUGUCAGGCAAGCUCGGAGGACUGAGAGGGAGGCCACCAAGCCCUGUGAGAGAGAAGGUGGAGGUGAGGACUUGAGAACAGUGGAAAGAAGGCAGCCUCUGAGGGCCCCAGGGUGGAGCAGAUCUGAGUGAUGAAAAUCCCCUUGGGACCCUGAGAGUGAGGGGAAGGUCACGGAAGCUGAGAGAUCCAGGAAUGUGAGGUCAGAGGCUGACCUGGUUGUCCACGCGGAUGUUCGAAACUCCCAGGAUGGAGAGAAAAACAGAGCAGGAGGAAUGAGGAAGGUGGGUGCUGACAGCCACAGGAGGACUGAGGCUGCAGGAGGCCGGCGGCACCUCAGAGGCUGAGCUCAGGCUUGGAGGGGUCUGGGAUGUGGGCAACAACUGGCUCCACCAGAGAGGCCUCAGGAAAGUGUGUCCCGGGGGAGGGUCAAGUUCCUUUACUGCAUGAGCAGAAGAAAGUGGGAAGAACAAGGAUAGGGAGUUUAUCCCCAGAGGAAAAAGGGAGCCAUGGCAGGUGAGGGAAGGGUGGGAGCAGCAGUGAAAGCGGCUGGGGCAGGGAGAGAGGGCGGGGGAGGCUGGGAAGGCUCUUUAGCAUCAGACCUGGCCUAGGGACCCUGGCAGCACCUGACCUGGUCGUCAGGGCACUGUGUGCCACCCAGAAGCAGGGUGAGGCCUGUGCUUCUGAGUGCUGCUGGCCUCAGCUCUGGUGCUCCAGGCCAUGCGCAGAAGUGAGAAAACAGUAGUAGAAACCCAAGACCACCCAGUCUGGUCCUCUGACAUCCCCUGUGCCCUGCAGAUGUGGACGAGUGUGAGGCUGGGGACGUGUGUGACAAUGGCAUCUGCAGCAACACGCCAGGAUCUUUCCAGUGUCAGUGCCUCUCUGGCUACCAUCUGUCCAGGGACCGGAGCCACUGCGAGGACAUUGAUGAGUGUGACUUCCCUGCAGCCUGCAUUGGGGGUGACUGCAUCAAUACCAAUGGCUCCUACAGAUGUCUUUGCCCCCAGGGGCAUCGGCUGGUGGGUGGCAGGAAAUGCCAAGGUAUGGGGGACUGGCUGAGGGUUCCUGAGGGAUGUGGCAGGGAGCAGUAAUUCCCUAGACACACUGUGGCCUUUCUCCAUCCAUCCAUCCAUCCAUCCACCUACCCACCCACCCAUCCACCCACCAUCCAACCAUCCAUCCUUCCAUCCUUCAUCCAUCCAUCCAUCCAUCCAUCCAUCCAUCCUUCCUUCCUUCUAUCCAUCCAUCCUUCCAUUCAUCCUUCCACUCACCCACCCAUCCAUCUGCUCAGCCUUCCAGUCUUUCACCUAGAAUAACAAUGAUCACAGUAAACAUGACAGUUAGUGCUAUCGUGGUGCUUAUUAUGUGCCAGGCACUCUGUUAAGCUCUUUACAGAUAUUAAUGUAUUGGUCUUCCCCAUCAACUCACCCAUACACAUGCAUUCAUCCAACAAAAGUUUAGGCUGAGUGCAGUGGCUCAGGCUGGGGGCGGUGGCUCACGCCUGUAAUCCCAGCACUUUGGGAGGCUGAGGCGGGCGGAUCAUGAGGUUAGGAGUUCAAGACCAGCCUGGCCAAUAUGGUGAAACCCCAUCUCUACUAAAAAUACAAAAAUUAGCCAGGCGUGAUGGCGCACGCCUGUAGUCCCAGCUACUCGGGAGGCUGAGGCAGAAGAAUCAUUUGAAGAUGGGAAGCGGAGGUUGCAGUGAGCCGAGAUCACGCCACUGUACUCCAGCGUGGGCAGAGAGUGAGAUUCCAUCUC